ensembl:lncRNA
ACUGGAAACAGCUGUUUACCACGAGACCAGGAAUGGCGUGAAGCGAGGGAGGUAGUCACCCUGCAUACAAAAUUUUAGAGGGCACCCCAAAAUUCAGUAAUCCAGAGUCACAAGGCUUUCCAAGUCUUUUGAGAAGAAAACCUGCUAUAAAUGAAACAGGAUGGCUAAUUCUGUAUCUUCAUAAUUCAUGUGAAAUCCGGAUUUUGUUAAACAAAAGUAUUACGACCUGUGGUUCAGUUCAACCCGUGAAGAUCGGCCAGUGCGUCUUCAUAACGUUCAAAGCAGCCUGGCCAACCUGGCAGUUCUCUUGAAGUUGUAAAACCUCCAUUCCAACAAUCCCGCUGAGUUUUUCUAUCAGAAGACACAGGUUUUCCUUCUUAGGAUGCUUCUCUGCCACCCGGAGGAUACAAGAGAUAAUAUGGAGAAUGAUGAAAACAGUUUUUAUGUCUUGGGAGGUGAGUUGAUUCACUUAGUGGCUCAAAGACUUUGGAGUGAACACACUGGAUCCACUGGCCCACAGGCCCUCCAGUUGUGCAGUUAGCCAUCAGCCAGAUAGCCUCUUUCUGGACAUUAAACUCUCCAUUUUUUAACAGAGCCACCAAGGGAGGCAGCGUACCACAAGGAAUCCACAGCUGGAUGUCUGGAUGCCUCCUCUGGAUGGAGAACUUGCGGUGCAUCAGGAGCUGGGGCAGCAUGCUCAGCCGCCUGUGUCAACGGCCACUUAGUUCUGGUGAUCCGUUACAAUGACGAAGUUUCCACAGUGUGGAGAGAGGGGGUCAAGACAUUGAGCCUCAAACUGGUCAUGAGCUCUAGCAGCCAGACAGGACCCCCUUGUCAACCGUUUGGCAGAUGCACUCAUUGCAGCCAUCAUGAGGUAGGACAUGGCCCAGCAGGUGUCCCAGGGAACCUCAUUGCCACGACGCUGUGGGAGGUGGAAGAGGAGUAACAACAUUUACUUGACCACUUUUUCACAAGAGUACCGGUUGUUGUUUUGCUCCAGUGUGGACAAGGUCCACAUGAUGUUCUACAGAAAUGGGAUGGGUAUGGUUGAUGAAAAACCAGGGCCAGCAGAUGUGGGACAGCAUUGCUCAAGAGGACGAUGUCUCUGAAUUCUCAGCUGUCACCUGCUCUGUUACCAAGAACCCACAUUACCUGUUCACAAACAGUCACACCAGGGGAAGACAGAAGCUCACUCAAGGGCUGGAUGGCACUCCGUCCACAACAGCUGGUGUCUGCUCCAAAGUCAAUGAAGCUGUGCUGGUCAGAGCCCAGGCUGCCUCAACCGCAAGCAGUGGUGAAGCCAUGACUUCAGGAGCUCCAGCAGCAUGAGAACGAGCCUUGCUUCAACAAUCUAUUUUAGAGGAGGGCUUCUUUCUUGAGACAGCAUUUUCCUGGCUGCCUGAGUGGCCUGGACACAUAGCUCUGGGUCCGAGGAGUCACACCAUUGAUUAUUUCAUGCAGGGGGAAGCUGACCAAUUUGGUGAGCUUUCCUGAAACUGAGUCAGGUGAGAGAUUGGUCAUGUUCCUUCUCUUUACAGCCUGCUCGUCUUUCUUGGCUUUCUGGAGCUGUAGGCUGAUUGCCAUCUGCUGUUGCUGCCUCGUAGAUGCUUCUUUGCCUCAGUACUGAAAUUUCCUCAGCCUCUCGACUAGAACUUCUAAAGUUGGCACAUUGACUGGAAGAAGCAUAAGAAACCACCUGGCGGAGCUGCCCUGAUUGAUGAGGUAGAAAGAAAGCAAUAUUCGAAGUCCAAAACCCAAGGUCCAAUUUGUGACUGAUUAGAAUAUAUGACCUGAUUUCACCUACAAUGUUAUUUACCUUUCUUAGGUGGCAGUUCUUUCUUCUAUGGAUUAGUGGUGAUAAUACCUGACUUUCUGAAGUUCAGGCUAUUUUGGAAGAAAACAACUAUUAAUGCAAUAACAAAACUUUUGAAAUAUGGAAUUCCUAUUAAUAUUCCUUAAGCAAUGCAAUGCAUUUUCAUUAUCAUCUUGCCUUGUGUCAGCAAAAAUUCUAUGAACUAGGUAAGCUGAAGGUGAACCCAGUGCGCUAGAAAAGAAGGGUGUGCUCUUAUAAUGAUAGUAUUGAGCUGAGAAGUCUGUGAGGGGCUGUACUUAAGGACUCAGUAUUGACACUUGCAUUUUUGUAUACACAUUCUCUCCUCUCCCAUAAAAUAUUGAUUAAGCACUUAAGUUUAUUGAGUAAAGUAAUGCAUAAAUCUAACACAUGGUAUCAAGUUUCGAGAAGAUUAUAAUUCACUUUGUCAGACUGUACUGGCAGUCAUUAAACAGCCAAUGACGUAUUUCUAAAUUUCGUGCAAAAAGCACAUUAGUAAUUGCUCAGCUAAACCAGUUUAGCAGUCUUUCCUUCCCAUUUUCUUUGAGAACUUUGUCUCAAAAUUCUAGAAUAGCAAUGAUUUUGUGGUCUACUUGUUAUUGGGACAUUUGGUUAAUAAUGGGAUAUUUCAGAGUACACGGGGGGAGCAAAAUGGUAAUCACAUGCACAGAAACGUUUGUCAAAGAUUAUAGCAUUAAAGUGGACACUAGAGCUAAAGAAAUAGCCAGAGGAGAAUGAAUGAUGGAAGAGAGUUUUAAUUUAUUUUUAUGUUGGCUUCAAGCAUAUUUAAAAGAGAAUGGACUAUAAGUAGAUAAUGAAUCAUCAUACAACAGAAAAAGGAGAGGCAAGGAUUCCUUUUUAUCAGGAAUGGAAAGGAAAUGAGUGGGUGAAAAUGACUAUCCAUUUAGAGACUUGUUGAGAGGAAAGGGAAGUCACAAUGGAUGUGUCUUGCAGUGAGGUGGAGAAUAGCUGAAAAGAGUACAUAUGUUUUAAAUCUCCCCAGUGGAGACUGGGAGAGAGGCUGGCUAGUAAACAUAGCAGGACUGCUGAGAGCACAAAGAUUUAAACUGAAUUCGCUGUCCAUAUUUAUAGAGGAGCUGAUCUGUCUGCUUUGUUAUUUUUCUUCAGUAAAAUGCAACAGAUAUAGACAUAGAGAAUAAUUGUAUUAAUUCAAGGAUGAUGCAUAUGGAUAUCAGGUCAUGAGAUUUGAAGUAUUUAACCUUGGGAAGAAAGGAUGUGAAGAUUAUGAGAGCUCCAAUUGGGAGAGUGUUCAAGCGCGAGGGGGA